rnacentral:tRNA from 2 species
GGGGUUACAGCUCAGGGUUAGCAUGUGCUUAGCAUGCAUAAGGCCUUGGGUUCAAUCCCCAGCACCCCCU